rnacentral:rRNA from 1 species
CACGUAGGGCGCAAGCGUUGUCCGGAAUUAUUGGGCGUAAAGAGCUCGUAGGCGGUCUGUUGCGUCAUGCCUGUGGAAAAGCCCGGGGACUUGAACCCCUGGCUUGCAGUGGGAUACGGAACAGACUAGAGGUAGGUAGGGGAGAAAUGGAAUUCCCGGUGUAGCGGUGAAAUGCGGCAGAUAGUCGGGAGGAACACCGAUGGCGAAGGCAGGUCUCUGGGCCGAUACGUGACGACUGAGGAGGCGAAAAG